rnacentral:lncRNA from 1 species
CCCUGUACGCAGCACGCAGUACCACCUGUGCCCUCCAACAACUAAGGGCUUUCUCCCCAGAUCAGGCUCCUCAUGGGCACUCCUUCAGGAGAUUUCGCUCCCGAGGGCUUCCAAAUCUUCACCCCAACGGGUACUGAAGGGCAGCCCCAAAGCUGAACUGAUAAACCGCAGGAAUUGUUUCCACAGUGUGUGCAAUAACUUGAACAUCAGGCAGACUUCUCUAGAAGGACUGUAAUCCAGAGGAUUGCAUUUCAGAAGGCAAUUUUUGUUCACUGACCUUUAUGAAAAAGAAAG